GAGAUGAACAAGAUGUUUGAUUACAAGAACCGUCUCGACAAGAAAGACUUAGUCAUGCUGCCAGUGCUCGAGUGCGCAGAUGUAACCGAUAAGGACGGAGGGAGGCAUUAUUGGGUCUUCAGUGUCAACUUGAGGGACGGACGCUUCGAAGUUCUUGAUUCAAGCAGGACGCUAGAGAACAUUGAGCUGAUGAACAACGCCUCUACCAUUGCGGGGGCAGUACGCCAGCUAUGGAGGAAGCAUUACCCAAAGUUCAGCAUCGAGCACUUCCAGAUUAUUGACAUUGACGUACCGAAGCAGCUUGGCAAUAAUGAGUGUGGGUUGUUCGCACUGCUUAACGCCACCGAGUGGAAUGGUAGCCAACUGCCCAACUACGACCCCAAGGAAGUACUCAACAUCAGGAAGA
rnacentral:rRNA from 1 species